UCCAUAUUUGUGAAUUUGUUAUGAGGGAAAUCAUUAUUGUCUGUAACGUGCGAACUUCUUUGGUUUGUGUGGUCCCAUGAAUUUGCAAUUGGACUGCUUUGUUUGAUUUUAUUACACAUGUUGCUAUGUAUUUUAGACUUCAUUGGUUUUCUGUACCCUUAAUGAAUCAAUAUUUCGUCUUCUUUGUAAUAAUUUGGAAAUUGGUUCAUUGCUUUGUAUGCAGUAUUUUGACGUUUUAUUUCUACUCUUUGAUGCAGGUACUGAACCUUGUUGGCCUUUGGGGGUCUUUUAAGGAGAAAGUGUGCUACGACUCUGAUUAAAUGAUGCACAUCGUCCAUGUUCAAGGAUUUCCUUUUCUUGAUAACGAACAAAUAUCCAGGCCCUGUGGUUCUUUGACAAAAAGAAUUGGUGACUUAAUCCUUGUAUUCCAAAUGGUUUCAAAAUGCAUCGUAAUGCUACUCGCACGUCCAGUGA